rnacentral:lncRNA from 1 species
AUGCCAGAUUCCAGGACUUGCAGGAGCAGCAAGAGUGCCAGCACCAAAGAGCAGAGACUCCUGGAGGCCAUGCCAAGUGGACUCCUGAUGGGCAACACGGACACUCGAUAUGAAAGUAAAGAUCUGAUUGGCAUCCUCUUCUUGACGUGCUGUAUGUUCUGGAUAACAGUCCAGAAGCAAAACUACAAAACUGCUUUCAUUCAGAUUAACCAGUUAAAUGUAAUGGAUGAUGCUGUUUUGCUAAACUAAAACAUUGAUGUUGGUUUAAUAACAGAAAAAUGUAUUUGUGAGGUUGUUUGGACUUUUUUUCUUGUUGGCCUAUUUUAUUUUUGUUUUUGAGCAUGGUGAGUCAUUGCUGUUUUUUCAUUUAACCAUGAUCUGUUAUUCUAAUGAACGAAUCAAUAAAUUGUGCAGUCUAAAACA